GAUGAACGCUAGCGGCAGGCUUAACACAUGCAAGUCGAGGGGUAUAGUUCUUCGGAACUAGAGACCGGCGCACGGGUGCGUAACGCGUAUGUAAUCUACCUUUUACAGGGGGAUAGCCCAGAGAAAUUUGGAUUAAUACCCAAUAGUAUGUUGUGGUUGCAUCACUAUAACAUUAAAGUUCCAACGGUAAAAGAUGAGCAUGCGUCCCAUUAGCUAGAUGGUAAGGUAACGGCUUACCAUGGCUACGAUGGGUAGGGGUACUGAGGAGGAGAUGCCCCGCACUGGUACUGAGACACGGAACAGACUCCUACUGGAGGCAGCAGUGAGGAAUAUUGGACAAUGGGCGCAAGCCUGAUCCAGCCAUGCCGCGUGCAGGAUGACGGUCCUAUGGAUUGUAAACUGCUUUUGUACAGGAAGAAACACUCCCUCGUGAGGGAGCUUGACGGUACUGUAAGAAUAAGGAUCGGCUAACUCCGUGCCAGCCACCGCGGUAA
rnacentral:rRNA from 1 species